ensembl:ribozyme RNaseP_nuc Nuclear RNase P
GCCACAGGGACAACUACUAAUAGACUGCUUGGGAAGGGCCACUCGUGGCCCCAGCAGAGCCCUGUCUGCGAGGGGUGGGUGACCCACCAGCAAGGGGGAAUACUGUGUAUUGGGCCAGCCUGGGCAGGAGAAAAUAUAGCAGGUUCCCGGGGUGGGAGAAGUGAUCCCCACCUCAUGAAACCUGGGUGGAUGCUUGUGGCCCCACGGUGCUUUGAGACAGACUCAUGGCCGGCGAUCGUUGAGUCCAACGGGUGAGGUGGGGCAUGGCCCUACAACCCAAUUCAGACUACUCUCCCCCAGAC